rnacentral:rRNA from 1 species
UACGUAGGGCGCGAGCGUUGUCCGGAAUUAUUGGGCGUAAAGAGCUCGUAGGCGGCCUGUUGCGUCCGCUGUGAAAUCCCGGGGCUCAACCCUGGGCGUGCAGUGGAUACGGGCAGGCUGGAGGCAGGCAGGGGAGAACGGAAUUCCCGGUGUAGCGGUGAAAUGCGCAGAUAUCGGGAGGAACACCGGUGGCGAAAGCGGCUCACUGGACCAUAACUGACGCUGAUGCACGAAAGCUAGGGGAGCAAACAGG